UACAGAGGUCUCAAGCGUUUGUUCGGAUUCAUUGGGCGUAAAGGGUGCGUAGGCGGCGCGGUAAGUCGGGUGUGAAAUCUCGGGGCUUAACUCCGAAACUGCAUUCGAUACUGCCGUGCUUGAGGACUGGAGAGGAGACUGGAAUUUACGGUGUAGCGGUGAAAUGCGUAGAUAUCGUAAGGAAGACCAGUGGCGAAGGCGGGUCUCUGGGCCGAUACUGACGCUGAGGAGCGAAAGCGUGGGGGAGCGAACAGG
rnacentral:rRNA from 1 species